rnacentral:rRNA from 1 species
GUAUGGGGAUCUGCCCGAUAGAGGGGGAUAACUACUGGAAACGGUGGCUAAUACCGCAUAAUGUCUGCGGACCAAAGCAGGGGCUCUUCGGACCUUGCACUAUCGGAUGAACCCAUAUGGGAUUAGCUAGUAGGUGGGGUAAAGGCUCACCUAGGCGACGAUCUCUAGCUGGUCUGAGAGGAUGAUCAGCCACACUGGGACUGAGACACGGCCCAG